AUUGAACGCUGGCGGCAUGCCUUACACAUGCAAGUCGAACGGUAACGCGGGGCAACCUGGCGACGAGUGGCGAACGGGUGAGUAAUGCAUCAGAACGUGCCCAGUAGUGGGGGAUAGCCCGGCGAAAGCCGGAUUAAUACCGCAUACGACCUACGGGUGAAAGCGGGGGACUCGCAAGAGCCUCGCGCUAUUGGAGCGGCCGAUGUCAGAUUAGGUAGUUGGUGGGGGUAAAAAGCCUACCAAGCCGACGAUCUGUAGCUGGUCUGAGAGGACGACCAGCCACACUGGGACUGAGACACGGCCCAGACUCCUACGGGAGGCAGCAGUGGGGAAUUUUGGACAAUGGGCGCAAGCCUGAUCCAGCCAUGCCGCGUG
rnacentral:rRNA from 1 species